rnacentral:lncRNA from 1 species
GGCAUAGGACUGCAAAUAGCAGUCCCCUUCAACGAUGGCAGCGAUGGGACAUGACCAUGGUAUCGUAAAUUGUGUUUUGGGGGCCUUACAAUGGUCCCCAAUGUCCCCAUUUUGCCUUGAAAGUGGAUGAAAGAAAAAAAAAUUAGAAGAAGAGAAGAAGAAGAGAAGAAGAAGAGAACAGGAAGGGAAGGAAGGGGAAAAGAAAGAAAAAAAAGAGAAGCAUGAUAGAGAGAGGAGAAGGGGAAGCAAAAAAAAUAGAAGAGAAGAAAAGGAAAGGAGAAGAGGUUGUGUUUGGGAUUUAAGAAAAGAAUUAGGGCUGUGUUUAGGGUUUGAAAAAAAUUAAGAAGUUAUAUUUGGGGUUAGAAGGAUUUGAUAUUUAAAAAAAUCAUAAAAAGUAUUUUUUUUAUUUAGUAAUUUUUUUGUUAUAAAUAAAUGUUAAUUUUUUUGUUGUUUUUGAUUUAUUUCGGAAUUAAUUUUUAUUUUUAUUUUUGUAAGGUAUUAUUUGGUUAAAAAGAGC